rnacentral:lncRNA from 1 species
GUGGUGGCGGUAAUGCACCAGAAACGUUGUUGCCAAUCGACAUUAAACAAGAAGAAGUAGCAGCGCUUGUAAAAAGCAGAACUUGGCCGUAAGGAAGUAAGAGUAUAACUACAGUCAUCAAACUUUUCAUCUUCCACGAGGACUUUUAGUUUUUUUAAGCCGUCUAAGGCAAAGAUCGUGUGGCUGUGCUGAGCUUCCUUUCUGCUUCUCCUCUGGUCUCCAGCAGAUCGCGUUUCUGUUUCUGAUGUGUGUUUGGAAAGAUAUACGCUCUCGUUGAUCGUUGUAAACAAAGAACGUGUACUUGUGCUGACUGACGGGAGUAACAUGCCGGAAAGAGGAGGUCAGUGAGCCCACUGUCUCUACUAGUCCUAGUCCAGUUAUAAAAUCGGCGCGCUUGCCUCCUUCUCCCCUGGUGGAUCUUUAAUUCGGGUUACUCAGAGAGGGAUCCACAGCUUCUGCAAUUUCAGCUUGACCCUCUAAACAGCAAAUUAGCACCUCAUAUCACAGUGCAGCAAAAGCAGUUUCAUGAGCACUGGGAAGGACAAGCCCAGAGCCCAAAACAGACAGUGCAGGAGAUGACAAGGUUAGUAAUUGUAUGGUGAAAAUUAUACUUCUAGUUAUCUU